GAACUUCUCUAUUUAUGAGUUUCUCUGAGUUGCUCUUUGCGUCGUUUCUGUCUCCUCUUACGAACAAACUCAUUUCUCUAUUUCUGAGUUUCUCUGAGUUGCUCUUUGCACCGUUUCUGUCUCCGCCGCCAGCUCCGCUGUCGUUCAACCUCCUCGUCUCUGUUCAACCUCCGCCGCCGUCGCAUCCUUCUUGUCUCAAAUCCUAAAUUUGCAACUUCACCUCCAAACUCCAUUCUUUGCCUACGUCAAGUAUCGUAAUUAAAGAGAAUGUCUUCUGGUUUUCGGAUAUUUGCUCAGAAUGGUGGAGUUUCAUUUUAAAUGGUUGAGUCUCAUUUCCUCUGUCUGAAGAUAUCAAAAGCUGUGAAGAUUUUGCAAGCCGGAAUAACAGUGCUUGUGCAGACGAGUCCAACGAGCCCUGUAAAAAUUUCACAAGCCAAAAUAAAACUGCUUUUGCAAAUGACUCCACUAAGGUCUCUGAUAUAAUUAAAGGAUUAUCCCCUGACCAAACUACAAUGAAUAGAUUAAAUUCUCCUUGCUCUUUUUCAUGUAUGAACAAAUCUAUAACCAUGUCCAAUGGAACAAUGCAUCAGCGCCGCACUGUUUUGGGGCAAAAUUCUGGAAGCAAGAACCUUUCCAUGGAAUCCAUUGAUUUUCUUGACGAAAACGAGUAUGUAAUUGAUUUUCUAUAUAUAAUUGAACUGUUUGAAGGUAUAAGAUAUCUAACACUAUCUUAGACUUAUAUCAUUUCACAUAAUGUUUCCAAUGUUAGAGUACCGUUUGAAGUGGGGCAGUCACUUAAACGGCUCUUCUGAUUUUGUUCACUUUACUCUGUCCACUAAUUUAUGUUUCUCACAAUACUUAGAGCUGAAGUGGAGAGGCUUGAAGCUGUUAAUACAGAAUUGCAAAGCUAAAUUGCAGCGGAGGGAAAAGUAAAUGCAUAUCUGUAAUCUUAUGUAGCAACACGAAAGGAAGCCAAAGUAAAUGCAAAGCUGCAAUCUUAUGUAGAAAAACGAAAGGAAGUCUUGCAAGAGCGCCGUCUGGUUCUUGAGCGAGAUGUGGACAAGUUACAGGAGCAGUUGCUAAAAGAGAAAAACUUAGGGAAACUCUUGAAGCCAGACUUAAGUUUCUUCCAGGGACAUUAUCUGAAUUAUUUGAUAUUGAUGAACAGGUUAGUAAGCCAGAUCCAGAAGAGUAAGCCAGAUCUAGAAGUUGCAGCCAUUUCAGAAUAUGAUAGAUCAAUAAGUAAGGACAAUCAUUUUGGUGGAGCAGAAAAUGAGAAUGAGAGAAAACUAGAGUCACCUUUACCAAACAAACACCCACCUAGUUCCAAGAAAUCUAGUGCAAGGGUUGAGGUAAAGACCAGGCCGGAAAACGAUCAAACUUUUGAAGUAUAAUAUUAUAGUACUCUAGGUGGUUACUAACUUUGUUCAUACUGUUGCCAAUAUUUGAAGUAUAAUAUUGUUGAUGUUACUGAUUUAGUUUGUUUGACAUGAGUUAGUUACAUGUGAAACUUUCUGUAUAUAUAUCAUACUUUACAUGAUUUAGUUUGUU